rnacentral:rRNA from 1 species
CCUACGGGGCGCAGCAGUAGGGAAUCUUCCACAAUGGACGAAAGUCUGAUGGAGCAACGCCGCGUGAGUGAAGAAGGGUUUCGGCUCGGAAAGCUCUGUUGGUAGGGGAGGAAGAUAGAGGUAGUAACUGGCCUUUAUUUGACGGUAAAUACUUAGAAAGUCACGGCUAAAUACGUGCCCGCAGCCGCGGUAAUACGUAGGGGGCAAACGUUGUCCGGAUUUAUUGGGGGUAAAGGGA